GGAGAUAGAUUUCACAAAGCCUGGUCUCUGCUCCACUCCGUUGGUGAAGUCAUCAGAAACGUCAUUCACCAAGGAGUGUAGUUUAGUCCUCUACCCCUGUGAAUGAACUCAGCUGGAGCCCCUCCCAUGAGAAAGAUUCACCUUGAGUUCACAGACUUGGUCCGGCACGGGAAUGGAGGUCCGGUGCAGCACCAAGUCUUGCUUAUUGCCGUGAACAUCGCACACUACCUCCAUCAAAGAAAUUCCACUUGUGCUUGAGGCCGAGAUUCGGUGGUCCUCAGACCACGUGAGCGGCUCCAGGCCGCUGACCGGACUCAGUAGCUUUAUCACCGGAUCCCUCUUCACGACUGGCCCGAGUGCUGCCCAGGGAUCAUUCUCCCGUUCGGCUUCGGUAAGUUGUCCUACCUCUACCCUAUCCGGAGCGCGAUUUGGGCUGCAAGCCGCCAUUUUCCAUGUGAAAAAUAAAACAACGCGUCACCACAGAGUUUCUGAACCGUCACUACGGCGAGGAGGAGGGACAUCUCAUACCACUAGGAAAAAUAUCCGCAAAGCUUCAGUGUAGAGAUCGGUUGCAGUGUAGAGAUCACUAAUAUAUAAUGCCUAAAUUCAGGUAGAGAUAGCUAGAUAACAUCAGCAAGUUUGAUAUCCAGCCAUGAGUAUGUAUCUAUCUUCAUUUAGUCAACGAGUUAGGAAUACUUUUUAUGGUAGAAUAUGAACUAUUACAAUGUAUCAUAAUACAACACAGUGAUAAAGUUUGAGAUAACAGCAUGACUGUCUCUGCAUGGUAUUUGGUAUUUAUUAGCAUCCCCGUUAGAAAAAUAAAUAAACAUAUAUUUUUUAUUACCCUACCAACUAACCCUAUACUCAUUUAAACCCACCACCGUAUUCCAUUACUAACCCAAUCUGAUUCUACCCCAGGUCAAAAGCCUGAGAGGAAUUUGUGCAUUUUUAUUAGGAUCCCUAUUAACUAACGCCGUAACGUUAUCUAAUCUUCCUGGAGUCCAACACUAAUUAAUAAGACAUUACAAACAAUUACAAAUUAAGACUUUACAAACAUUUAACAAGUAGACAAUACAGACAAUUAAAAUACCUGACAGGAAACACAUUUAACAUUCAGUUGAUGCUUUCUAUUUCCUGCCCAGUCAUAUGGUCUAUCACAUUAGAUGUUCUUUCUACUUCCUGUCCAGUCAUAUGGUCUAUCGCAUUAAAUGUUUUUUUUUCUUCUUGAAGGUGGAUUUACUUUUUUCCUGAGAAAUAUGGAUUGGUAAAGAGUUCCAUUCAGCUAUGACUCAAUAUAAAACUGUAGAUUUAAGGCGAUUUGUCCUUGGCUUAGGUUGUCUUAGAUGCCCGGAAUUUACCUGUCUGGUUUGGUUGUUAUGCAUGUUGCUAGUAUGUACUAACUGGCCUGAAAAAUACUGUGUUUUUUUAAAGAUAUAACAUUCCUAAAGAGAAUCAGAAGACUGGAUAGUAAUUUGUUUUCAAUGUGAAGCCAUGAGAGAUUCUGAUGCAUUUUAAUAAUAUUCAUACUGCUAGAGCAACAAAGAGCUCAUCUGGCAGCCCUGUUUUGAGCCAUUUGAGCUUUUUUUUUUUAUAUCUUUCUUUGCUGCAGAUGACUAUAUAACUGGACAGUACUCUAAGUGUGAUAGGACCAAGGAUUGAAUCACCUGAUUCAGAGUGCUAGAUGAUACUUACUCUGAACAUUUUCUUGCAAUAGCAAUUCACUUAACAACUUAAUUAAACAAAUUAAAUGUAAUGCGCCGAAUACAAGAGGUGAAGACCUUACAGUGAAAUGCUUACUUACAAGCCCUUAACCAACAAUGCAGUUUUAAGAAAAUACCACAAAAAAAGUGAAAGAUAAGAAUAACAAAUAACAAUAUUAACUAUGUGUUCUGACCAGGAUACAGCUGCGUCCAAUAUGACAUCUAGUAGUUUUUUUUCACUUGCUCUACAUGCGUUCUAUUCAUCAACAAAUUCAAUUGGAAAUCAUCAGCAAGCAACCUGGGGCGGCAGGUAGCCUAGUGGUUAGAACGUUGGACUAGUGUAAGAAAUUGUAAUAGAGACUGGAAACUAGUAAUAACUACAUUUCAACAUAAGCCAUAUUUUAUACAAAAUACACAUACUCCUCAUUUCUCUUGGACAUAUGCUGGACUUAUUAAGACACCAACUACAGACACACAUAAUUCCCCUCCCCCAUGAUAACCAUAGACACACAACACAAGGUUGGAGCUCAAGACAAAUAACUAUCUCAGGAACCAAUGGAACGUGGACACCAGGCCUGUUCAGGACUACCCAAGACCCAGAUCGACCAAUCGGAAGGCCAGACUCGCAGAUCAACCUACUUUGCUUGUUGUCUAUAUAAAACUGUACAACUGUUGAAACUACCCUCUUUUCCGGACGGUUCCAUAAGAAUCAGAAAGAAAGAGCCUUGCUGCAAGAUUUUACUAAGAUAUCUUUACAUGUGAUUAAACGGCCUUUUUAUAAAAUUA